GGAGGCCAGUGAAUGGCAAGACUAGGAAUAUCUGUACUUUGUAUACGAAAAAAACUUUUCAUCUAAGUGAAAAGACUUAGAUAACCAAGGAAGACGAAAAGACCCCGCGGAACUUUACCUUUUCUUAUACUUCUGUCUACAAACUUAAAAGUCUAUAAGGUUUGAUUGGGGCAAUCUUGGAACCUCUAAAGCUUCCAAUUGUUAUACAACACAUCUAAAAUUUAUUAAGGACCAAAAAGUAGUUACCCCGGGGAUAACAGCGUAAUCCAACUUAAGAGUACACAUCGAAAGUUGGGUUUGCGACCUCGAUGUUGGUAAA
rnacentral:rRNA from 1 species